UCUCUGGUAGCUCAGAUGGUAAAGAAUCUGCCUGCAAUGCAGGAGACCCAGGUUUGAUCCCUGGGUCGGGAA
rnacentral:tRNA from 1 species